rnacentral:lncRNA from 1 species
GCCGGAGCAGGAUUGCAGUCUUCUCUGAGCAGGAGACCCUCCCUUGAAUCCCGGCACUGGGACGUCUCACCCUCUCGCGGCACCUGUUGCAGGUGACAGAGACGUCGAGUCCCCUUUUCGGUGGUUCCUCGAUCAGCGCUUGGUCGUCGCGCCGGGUCUCAGUCUCGCACAGCUUCCGGACCUCAGACCUCGCGACGUCAACUUCUCCAGCCUCCAUAGGACCGUCAAAGUAAGUACACUGCUUCUUCAGGACCAGAGGACCUAGCAUUCCGGAAUAUUGCUUUUGUCGUGGUUGACCCUAAACCUUGUGCAUUUGUGACAGAAAUUAAUUUUCACCGCAUCCUG